rnacentral:lncRNA from 1 species
GGAAGCUGAAGGGGAUUUUCUCUGAUGUUUAUUGUAGGAACCUGGUGGAGCUCCUGGAGGUAAACCUCACAAUAUUUUGGGGACUCUCCUAUGACUGAAUUCCCCUGGUGUCUUUAAUUUCUGACUUAUCCACACUGAGCCUUCAGCAAUUCAUCAAAUACACUUCAGGAUUUCCUACCCAGCACUGAUCCUGGCGUAGUUUCUGCGGGAUGAAGGAUUGACACCAGAGCUAAUGAGUACAGCAGACUACACCCAUGCUCCAGAUAAUCAGCAGCAAUUUAUCCAAAUCAGAAAAAAAAAAAUCAUGUUUGGGAAGAUGGUGACCACCUGCCUUGACACCCACCCAAGCACCAGCAGGCUGGGCGGACCCCUUCAACAAUGGCAAGAGGAUGGCUGAAAUUUGAAGAACACAUCACUCUGGAAACCAAAGGGUGGAAGCAGAAGCAGCCCCACUUCCCAAACUCCCAACGACUCACUGCAGAAUUUUGUCCUUCCUGUCCCUGUUCUUCUUGGUUCUGCAAGGUUGGAGGUCCUGGGUCCUACUCUUGCCAGGGGCCACAGAAAUGGUCCCAUUGGGAAUAAGCUAUGGAUGCCACCAGAGAAAUUUUGACUCUUUGUGUUCAGAGACCAGCAGGCAAGAGGAAGAGUCAACAUCUUGACAAGGUCAUUGACUCUGAUCGUCAAGACAAGACUUUUGGAAACACUUGGAGAGUUUCAAAAGCUCAUAGCAAGGUCUCGCCCCCCAACUAUCAAUCAUUGAGGAGCUUGGGUGGAGAGCUGCUCAUGAGUGUGUUAAAUGAUGAUUUUUUGGGUGCUGUAUCUGGCGAUGUCUUCUCUGAACUUUCUCAUGGUCAUGGUAUCAUCAUACAAUUAAAGAAACAGAGUGGGAAAAAUCCUUCACUUUCAGACCACUAGUAAAAAGUCACAGAGAUCUGAAAGGGAAUAUUGCCUGCAGAAAAUUGUGACCUGCUCUAUCCCACUUACACUAAAACAGUCUCUUUCCAGGGUUUCAAAUUCUGCUCUUGAAAUCCAGUCCAACACGAUCAAGCUACUUUCCAGCUUUCCAGAUCUCUGAAUAACUUCUUUCCUGGAUUUGUCUGCACAUUAUACUUUACGCUGGCUCUUUUCCAUUAUCAUAUACUUUAUGAGAGAAAGCCUUACAGUUCUCAAGACAAAUUAGGAGCUAUUUUUUAGUUCAAAAGUUAUUUUUGUAAUAAUUGACCUUGUAUGUAAAUUCAAUAAUAUGUAGGAACAAAAGAUAUCCUCAAAUUGUAAGGAUUAUCGUGAUUUCUGAUUAAUAUUUGAAUAUCUACAUAAGUUUAAAUAUAACUCUGAGACUUUGCUUUUCAGAAUAAUUCACUCAUUCAUUCAUUUGUUCAUUAAUUUGUUCAUUCAUUUCUUCAUUCAUACUAAAAUAACUUAAUGAGAACUUAAUUUUUGUCAAGCUCUAUUCUACUCAUUCAGGAUAUAACUAUAAAUUUCUGUAAAACUAUAAAAUAUAAAUGUGUAAAGGUUUCUUCUCUUGUAGAGCUUACAUUUUAAUGGAAAAUACUAAUGA